rnacentral:rRNA from 1 species
ACGCUCGACCCUACGGUAGGCAGCAGUGGGGAAUAUUGGGCAAUGGGCGCAAGCCUGACCCAGCAACGCCGCGUGAAGGAAGAAGGCUUUCGGGUUGUAAACUUCUUUUCUCAGGGACGAAGGAAGUGACGGUACCUGAGGAACAAGCCACGGCUAACUACGUGCCAGCAGCCGUGGUAAUCUGAGCGGGCUGGCAAGGC